AAUUCGAUGAUACGCGAGGAACCUUACCUGGGCUCGAACGUAAGAUGACUGUAGGUGAAAGCUUACAUCUCUUCGGAGCAUUUUACGAGGUGCUGCAUGGUUGUCGUCAGCUCGUGCCGUGAGGUGUCGGGUUAAGUCCCAUAACGAGCGCAACCCCUACCUUUAGUUGCCAUCAGGUAAUGCUGGGGACUCUAAAGGAACUGCCUACGCAAGUAGUGAGGAAGGCGGGGAUGACGUCAAAUCAGCACGGCCCUUACGUCCAGGGCUACACACGUGCUACAAUGGCCGAUACAGGGGGCAGCUACCUGGUGACAGGAUGCAAAUCUCCAAAGUCGGUCUCAGUUCGGAUCGGAGUCUGCAACCCGACUCCGUGAAGUUGGAUUCGCUAGUAAUCGCGCAUCAGCCAUGGCGCGGUGAAUACGUUCCCGGGCCUU
rnacentral:rRNA from 1 species